AAAAUGGUGAGAGGGUUAAGGGGAGUGCCCAGCACCGCCGUGAGGACCGCUGGGGACCUGACCCCAC
rnacentral:pre_miRNA from 12 species